rnacentral:rRNA from 1 species
UACGUAGGGUCCGAGCGUUGUCCGGAAUUAUUGGGCGUAAAGGGCUCGUAGGCGGUUCGUCACGUCGGGAGUGAAAACUCGGAGCUUAACUCCGAGCCUGCUUCCGAUACGGGCAGACUAGAGGUAGGCAGGGGAGAGCGGAACUCCUGGUGUAGCGGUGGAAUGCGCAGAUAUCAGGAAGAACACCGGUGGCGAAGGCGGCUCUCUGGGCCUUACCUGACGCUGAGGCGCGAAAGCUAGGGGAGCAAACAGG